CCUACGGGGGGCAGCAGUGGGGAAUAUUGGACAAUGGGCGAAAGCCUGAUCCAGCCAUGCCGCGUGUGUGAAGAAGGCCUUCGGGUUGUAAAGCACUUUCAGUGGGGAAGAAAGCCUUGGGGCUAAUACCCUCGAGGAAGGACAUCACCCACAGAAGAAGCACCGGCUAACUCCGUGCCAGCAGCCGCGGUAAUACGGAGGGUGCGAGCGUUAAUCGGAAUUACUGGGCGUAAAGCGCGCGUAGGCGGUCUGAUAAGCCGGUUGUGAAAGCCCCGGGCUCAACCUGGGAACGGCAUCCGGAACUGUCAGGCUAGAGUGCAGGAGAGGAAGGUAGAAUUCCCGGUGUAGCGGUGAAAUGCGUAGAGAUCGGGAGGAAUACCAGUGGCGAAGGCGGCCUUCUGGACUGACACUGACGCUGAGGUGCGAAAGCGUGGGUAGCAAACAGGAUUAGAUACCCUAGUAUC
rnacentral:rRNA from 1 species